rnacentral:lncRNA from 1 species
AUAAUUAACUACUGAUUAACUAUGACAUCUACAAGAUAUAAUAAUGAAACGUUUUUCAUUUAGAUCAAAUCUAUCCAUUAAAUUGUUGUUUCUAAUCGAACACAUUUGUGGGCUGCACAACAAUAUGGUGGGGUGAAAGCCAGGUUAUGGCUAGACGGGAUCCAGCUUUUGUCAAAUUAACAUCAUAUUUGACUUUUCGCAGCAAGUUAUGAUAAUUUACGAAGCAGGUUAAGAGAAUGAACGUAGCAGCUUAGGAUAAUUGUGUUAAGGUUAUGACAAGAGUUAUGGUUAGGGUUAGCUAAAAUGCAAAAUAAAUCAACUUUUGAUGUUAAUUUGACCAAAGCUGGAUACCUUCUAGUCUUGACCGGGUAACCACGGCAGAAAAAGAGCGGAGUGACUCGAUGUUGUUUUAGGUUUGUAUCUGGUAAAUUUGUGAAUUUAUUAGGCAUAGCUAUCGUGCUUUCUGUCUCUCUGCGGAAGUUUGUUAUUUAGAUGAUUAGAUGGUUCCUCAUCCUGAAAGUAGUCUAUGGUAGAAAACCGAAUCCAUGGUUCGUUUUUUUUUCCGCCAACAUCCGCUAACUUUACCCACAGCUAGCUAGCUAACAGUCAAUGGAAGUGAUAUCAACCGUGCAAUGAUAAGACGAUAACAUGGAGUCCAUUGAUUUGGAGAGGGGGGGCCCUUCUUGCUCUCUAUCUGGAUAUGCCAAUGGAGAGAUAAUGACCCUGGAGAUCUCAGAUGUCUCUCCAGACUUGCUUGUUCUCGAGGUAAAAGACAACAACCUACCUGAAAGUAACCAUGGCAGCCUAGACACGGAGAUGGAUGCUGACUUUUAUAAUGAUGAUGGGCAUGGUUUUGCGAAUGUGGAACUCCAGUUCUUUCCAUGUGAUGCCUGCGAAGCCUCCUUCACUAGCGAACCAGAGCUGGAGCAGCACUUCAUAAGCUCUCAUUCAAUAUGUGAUAUAGCAAGUGAGAGAGCAAGACCGAAAGCCAAGUCAAUGGAAAAAGAAGGUGUCUCACCCCUGCACACCUGCAUGACUUGUGGGAAGGUGUUCAAAUACCUAACUUCAUUUCGAAAACAUGAGGAAACUCAUAUCAAAGCCCUGUACACCUGCAAGACUUGUGGGAAGGAGUUUAAAUACCUAACUUCAUUCACAAAGCACCAGGCCACUCACAUUGUACCAAGACUGAGAGGAAAUCGAAAGUCAAUCAUAACAGUAGGCUUAAAUGUCAAUCAGAAAGUGAAAGGCCUUCACACCUGCAGGCACUGUGGUAAGGGGUUCAAAUACCUAACUUCUUUCAUAAAGCAUGAGAAGACUCACAGGAUAACCAAAAAAAGCAGAAAAAAACAGAGGAACCCUUCAAGUUCUGAGAUUAUUGUACGUCUUGAAGGCAAUAGGAAAGAUGCCACAGAAACUUGUGUAAGGGCCAUCAAGAAAAACAGGAAGAACAGCGACGAUACUGAGGAUCAGGAUGCAUGUAUUCUAAUAUCUUCUGAUGAUGAACUACCCAACACUGCAGAGCAGCAAAUGCCUGACUCUAAAUGUUCUCCUCCUUUCCCUUCUAACUCUAACCGUUCUCCUCCUUUUCCUUCUGACUCUAACCGUUCUCCUCCUUUUCCUUCUGACUCUAACCGUUCUCCUCCUUUUCCUUCUGACUCUAACCGUUCUCCUCCUUUUCCUUCUGACUCUAACCGUUCUCCUCCUUUUCUUUCUGACUCUAACCGUUCUUUUCCUUCUGACUCUAACCGUUCUCCUCCUUUUCCUUCUGACUCUAACCGUUCUCCUCCUUUUCCUUCUGACUCUAACCGUUCUCCUCCUUUUCCUUCUGACUCUAACCGUUCUCCUCCUUUUCCUUCUGACUCUAACCGUUCUCCUCCUUUUCCUUCUGACUCUAACCGUUCUCCUCCUUUUCCUUCUGACUCUAACCGUUCUCCUCCUUUUCCUUCUGACUCUAACCGUUCUCCUCCUUUUCCUUCUGACUCUAACCG